rnacentral:rRNA from 2 species
CUUUGCUGACGAGUGGCGGACGGGUGAGUAAUGUCUGGGAAACUGCCUGAUGGAGGGGGAUAACUACUGGAAACGGUGGCUAAUACCGCAUAACGUCGCAAGACCAAAGAGGGGGACCUUCGGGCCUCUUGCCAUCAGAUGUGCCCAGAUGGGAUUAGCUUGUUGGUGAGGUAACGGCUCACCAAGGCGACGAUCCCUAGCUGGUCUGAGAGGAUGACCAGCCACACUGGAACUGAGACACGGUCCAGACUCCUACGGGAGGCAGCAGUGGGGAAUAUUGCACAAUGGGCGCAAGCCUGAUGCAGCCAUGCCGCGUGUAUGAAGAAGGCCUUCGGGUUGUAAAGUACUUUCAGCGGGGAGGAAGGUGUUGUGGUUAAUAACCGCAGCAAUUGACGUUACCCGCAGAAGAAGCACCGGCUAACUCCGUGCCAGCAGCCGCGGUAAUACGGAGGGUGCAAGCGUUAAUCGGAAUUACUGGGCGUAAAGCGCACGCAGGCGGUCUGUCAAGUCGGAUGUGAAAUCCCCGGGCUCAACCUGGGAACUGCAUUCGAAACUGGCAGGCUUGAGUCUUGUAGAGGGGGGUAGAAUUCCAGGUGUAGCGGUGAAAUGCGUAGAGAUCUGGAGGAAUACCGGUGGCGAAGGCGGCCCCCUGGACAAAGACUGACGCUCAGGUGCGAAAGCGUGGGGAGCAAACAGGAUUAGAUACCCUGGUAGUCCACGCCGUAAACGAUGUCUACUUGGAGGUUGUGCCCUUGAGGCGUGGCUUCCGGAGCUAACGCGUUAAGUAGACCGCCUGGGGAGUACGGCCGCAAGGUUAAAACUCAAAUGAAUUGACGGGGGCCCGCACAAGCGGUGGAGCAUGUGGUUUAAUUCGAUGCAACGCGAAGAACCUUACCUGGUCUUGACAUCCACAGAAGAAUCCAGAGAUGGAUUUGUGCCUUCGGGAACUGUGAGACAGGUGCUGCAUGGCUGUCGUCAGCUCGUGUUGUGAAAUGUUGGGUUAAGUCCCGCAACGAGCGCAACCCUUAUCCUUUGUUGCCAGCGGUUAGGCCGGGAACUCAAAGGAGACUGCCAGUGAUAAACUGGAGGAAGGUGGGGAUGACGUCAAGUCAUCAUGGCCCUUACGACCAGGGCUACACACGUGCUACAAUGGCGCAUACAAAGAGAAGCGACCUCGCGAGAGCAAGCGGACCUCAUAAAGUGCGUCGUAGUCCGGAUUGGAGUCUGCAACUCGACUCCAUGAAGUCGGAAUCGCUAGUAAUCGUGGAUCAGAAUGCCACGGUGAAUACGUUCCCGGGCCUUGUACACACCGCCCGUCACACCAUGGGAGUGGGUUGCAAAAGAAGUAGGUAGCUUAACCUUCGGGAGGGCGCUUACCACUUUGUGAUUCAUGACUGGGGUGAAGUCGUAACAAGGUAACCGUAGGGGAACCUGCGGUUGGAUCACCUCCUUACCUUAAAGAA